GGUCCCAUAACUCAGUUGGUCAGAGUGUCGUACUAAUAUUAUGAUGAUAACUCAUAACAUUUGUCAUGCGAAAGUCGUGAGUUCGAGCCUCACUGGGACCA
rnacentral:tRNA from 1 species